rnacentral:rRNA from 1 species
AGGAAGGUGGGGAUGACGUCAGGUCAUCAUGGCCCUUACGGCCAGGGCUACACACGUGCUACAAUGGCGCGCACAGAGGGCUGCAAACCCGCGAGGGGGAGCUAAUCUCACAAAACGCGUCGUAGUCCGGAUCGCAGUCUGCAACUCGACUGCGUGAAGUCGGAAUCGCUAGUAAUCGUGAAUCAGAAUGUCACGGUGAAUACGUUCCCGGGCCUU